UACGUAGGGGGCAAGCGUUGUCCGGAAUCAUUGGGCGUAAAGAGCGUGUAGGCGGCCCGAUUAGUCCGCUGUGAAAGUCGGGGGCUCAACCCUCGAAUGCCGGUGGAUACUGUCGGGCUAGAGUGCGGAAGAGGCGAGUGGAAUUCCUGGUGUAGCGGUGAAAUGCGCAGAUAUCUGGAGGAAUACCGGUGGCGAAGGCGGCAUCCUGGACCGGCAUUGACGCUGAGGAGCGAAAGCUAGGGGAGCAAACGGG
rnacentral:rRNA from 1 species